rnacentral:lncRNA from 1 species
AAAAAAAUAUGCAGAUGUCACGCUGAUUUACUGACUCAGCACCUUUUCGCUGAAUUUGUCACCUACGGUGGGCUACCGGCCUCGAAAUGAGAACCUGGGCGCAUGCGCGUAUAUCGCAUCUAGGACAAUUUUAUUGUCAAGAGGAGGGAGGUAGGUAAUUAUGGAACGUUUUUAAAGCUGUUUUUGUAUUUUGACGGUCUGUGGCUAAGGCUGGAGAGUGGUGAAGAAUAAUCCUUCAACAGAAAUGUCUGCAAGAUUGUUCAAAACAUUGUUUUCUUUUUUAUUUUGAUUUAAGACUCUUCAAUUGACAUAAUUACAGGAAAUAGCAUGUUCAUUAAAUGCAUCAAGCCAUGAGUUUGGGAAGUGAACUACUAUAGAGUGAUCAGUGAAUGGAUAUGUUGGACUUUGUGCAUAGUUGUGCGAAGUGGUGAAGUAACUUGGCUUGAAUUUAGAUUCAUCCCUGCUCUCCUAAUUUCUAAAAAAAGUUCUUAAAUUUUCUUCCCGAUUGUACUGUGUUCACGUUGCAAGGAUGGAUUGCGAGUUGGUUGGAUUAGUGGAAACAUUUACCUACAAAGUGUUGCAUGUUGUUAAGCACUGCUGGCAAUGCUUAUGGUAUGUGCUGUGUUGGACUUUGUGCAUAGUUGUGCGAAGUGUUGAAGCAACUUUGCUUAAAUUCAGAUUCAUCCCUAGUCUGCUAAUUUUUCAAAAGGUUUAAGUUUCUUCAAUUUUCUUCCUGUUUGUACUGUGUUCAUGUUCCAAGGAUGGGUUGUGAGCUGGUUGGAUUAGUGGAAACAUUUGACUGCAGAGUGUUGCAUGUUGUUUAGCACUAGUAUUAUUUGCUAGCAGUGCCUAUGGUUAAUUGUUGCUUGUGCAAUUUCAGAAAAAAUAUAUAGAACUUGAUUAAUUAUA